GGCAUGAACUGCUUAUGGAAACAUUUAAUAUUAUUAAAUUUUCCAGACAUAUCAUUACUAUUUAACCUGAGACGACAAACAAGAGGUUUUAAAAAGUUCUGAAUAACUGAAAUGAACAAAAAUACACAGAUUUAUUCAGAAAGUCAUAGUGAUGAAGAUCACACAAAAAUAUUUGGAAAAAUCAGAACUAUGGAUUUCAAUAUGGGUCAAUAUCCCUAAUGCGCCUCGAAAUGAGGAACUCAAAAGUUGUGUGUAAACAAAAAAUCUCUGUGUAGUGAUAUUGGACAUGUUUCUAUUUUUUACAAAUGACUGAGCUUAACCAUUUGUGGUGAUUAGGAAAGAAGAGGAACAUAGAAUAAAUGUGUAAAAACUAUGUAGCUAUUA